GGGCGCGUAACUCAGGGGUAGAGUGCUAUCUUCACACGGUGGAAGUCGCAGGUUCAAAUCCUGCCGUGCCCA
rnacentral:tRNA from 1 species